rnacentral:rRNA from 1 species
GUGGGGAAUAUUGGACAAUGGGCGCAAGCCUGAUCCAGCAAUGCCGCGUGGGUGAAGAAGGCCUUCGGGUUGUAAAGCCCUUUUGUACGGAAAGAAAUCCUGGUGGUUAAUACCCGCCGGGGAUGACGGUACCGUAAGAAUAAGCACCGGCUAACUUCGUGCCAGCAGCCGCGGUAAUACGAAGGGUGCAAGCGUUAAUCGGAAUUACUGGGCGUAAAGCGUGCGUAGGUGGUUUCUUAAGUCUGUCGUGAAAGCCCUGGGCUCAACCUGGGAAUGGCGAUGGAUACUGGGAGGCUAGAGUGCGGUAGAGGAUGGCGGAAUUCCCGGUGUAGCGGUGAAAUGCGUAGAGAUCGGGAGGAACAUCUGUGGCGAAGGCGGCCAUCUGGCCUAAUACUGACACUGAGGUGCGAAAGCAUGGGGAGCAAACAGGAUUAGAUACCCCGGUAGUCC